CGCUAGCUACAGGCUUAACACAUGCAAGUCGAGGGGCAGCGCAGUGUAGCAAUACAUGGGCGGCGACCGGCGCACGGGUGCGUAACGCGUAUCCAACCUUCCCGUUACUCAGGGAUAGCCUUCCGAAAGGGAGAUUAAUACCUGAUGGUGUUGAAAUUCCGCAUGUUAUUUCAACUAAAGAUUUAUCGGUAACGGAUGGGGAUGCGUGACAUUAGGUAGAUGGCGGGGUAACGGCCCACCAUGCCUACGAUGUCUAGGGGUUCUGAGAGGAAGGUCCCCCACACUGGAACUGAGACACGGUCCAGACUCCUACGGGAGGCAGCAGUGAGGAAUAUUGGUCAAUGGUCGGAAGACUGAACCAGCCAAGUAGCGUGAAGGAUGAAGGUUCUAUGGAUUGUAAACUUCUUUUAUACGGGAAUAAAACCACCUACGUGUAGGUGCUUGUAUGUACCGUAUGAAUAAGCAUCGGCUAACUCCGUGCCAGCAGCCGCGGUAAUACGGAGGAUGCGAGCGUUAUCCGGAUUUAUUGGGUUUAAAGGGAGCGUAGACGGGAGAUUAAGUCAGUUGUGAAAGGCUGCGGCUCAACCGCAGCACUGCAGUUGAUACUGGUUUCCUUGAGUGCGGUUGAGGUAUGUGGAAUUCGUGGUGUAGCGGUGAAAUGCUUAGAUAUCACGAAGAACUCCGAUUG
rnacentral:rRNA from 1 species